UACGUAGGGUGCGAGCGUUGUCCGGAAUUAUUGGGCGUAAAGGGCUCGUAGGCGGUCUGUCGCGUCGGGAGUGAAAACUCAGGGCUUAACCCUGAGCCUGCUUCCGAUACGGGCAGACUAGAGGUAUGCAGGGGGAGAACGGAAUUCCUGGUGUAGCGGUGGAAUGCGCAGAGUAUCAGGAGGAACACCGGUGGCGAAGGCGGUCUCUGGGCAUUACCUGACGCUGAGGAGCGAAAGUGUGGGGGAGCGAACAGG
rnacentral:rRNA from 1 species